rnacentral:rRNA from 1 species
UACGUAGGGUGCAAGCGGUAAUCGGAAUUACUGGGCGUAAAGCGUACGCAGGCGGCUUUGCAAGACAGGUGUGAAAUCCCCGGGCCUAACCUGGGAACUGCAUUUGUGACUGCAUGGCUAGAGUUUGUCAGAGGGGGGUGGAAUUCCACGUGUAGCAGUGAAAUGCGUAGAUAUGUGGAGGAACACCGAUGGCGAAGGCAGCCCCCUGGGAUGUGACUGACGCUCAUGUACGAAAGCGUGGGGAGCAAACAGG